rnacentral:rRNA from 1 species
UACGUAGGGAGCAAGCGUUGUCCGGAAUCAUUGGGCGUAAAGCGCGCGUAGGUGGCUCUGUAAGUCCGUUGUGAAAGUCAAAGGCUCAACCUUUGAAAGCCGAUGGAUACUGCAGAGCUAGAGUACGGAAGAGGCGAGUGGAAUUCCUGGUGUAGCGGUGGAAUGCGCAGAUAUCGGGAGGAACACCAAUAGCGAAGGCAGCUCGCUGGGACGUUACUGACACUGAGGCGCGAAAGCGUGGGGAGCGAACAGG